AUUGAACGCUGGCGGCAUGCCUUACACAUGCAAGUCGAACGGCAGCACGGGUGCUUGCACCUGGUGGCGAGUGGCGAACGGGUGAGUAAUACAUCGGAACAUGUCCUGUAGUGGGGGAUAGCCCGGCGAAAGCCGGAUUAAUACCGCAUACGAUCUACGGAUGAAAGCGGGGGACCUUCGGGCCUCGCGCUAUAGGGUUGGCCGAUGGCUGAUUAGCUAGUUGGUGGGGUAAAGGCCUACCAAGGCGACGAUCAGUAGCUGGUCUGAGAGGACGACCAGCCACACUGGGACUGAGACGCGGCCCAGACUCCUACGGGAGGCAGCAGUGGGGAAUUUUGGACAAUGGGCGAAAGCCUGAUCCAGCAAUGCCGCGUGUGUGAAGAAGGCCUUCGGGUUGUAAAGCACUUUUGUCCGGAAAGAAAUCCUUGGCCCUAAUACGGUCGGGGGAUGACGGUACCGGAAGAAUAAGCACCGGCUAACUACGUG
rnacentral:rRNA from 1 species